GACUCCUCCAUGCUCCCCUCUAUGGCCCUCAUGGUGCUGUGCCAGUUGCUGACAAUGCUCCAAGGCUGUGACUGCUAUGUCCAGGCCAUAGAAGGAACUAUGGGACAUAACCAGAGCCCACUCAGUGGUGGGCAAGGUCCCAGGACAAGAGGGAACAGCAUAGGGCCUAGGAACAUAGGCCAGCCCAGUUCUCCGACCCCUGCAUUCCUGCCAACAAGGUAGGGGAUCCAGUGAGGAGCCCAUGUCCCAGACCUCCCAUUGUCCUACACCCAGUGUACCCCUAGGAGAGAAUCCUUGCCUUGGCAAAACAUCCCACAUAUUUCUUUCUUUCUUUUUUCUUUUUUUGCUUUUUAGGCCCACACUCAUGGCAUAUGGAGGUUCUAAGGCUAGGGGUCCAAUCAGAGCUGCAGCUGCCAGUCUACACCAUAGCUCACAGCAACACCGGAUCCUUAACCCACUGAGUGAGGCCACGGAUCGAACCUGCAACCUCAUGGUUCCUAGUCAGAUUUGAUUCCACUGAGCCACAAUGGGAACUCCAUAAGAGUAUUUCUUGAAGUUGUGGAUGAAAGAGCAAUGAACACUUUGUGCUGUCCCUUGGAACAAACCUGCUGCUUCCCUGCCACCCCACAGAGGGUCUGUCAGGGCAGCCUCACCCCUGCCAGUGGAUUUUGUGAGUGCCAUGCCCACCUUUGCACAACUGCUCCCAGUCUCCCCAGUACCCAUCCUGACAUUGGGAGCAUGUGAGACCCUCAAAUCCUUCCUGGCAGGGGCACUGCCCUGUGACCUGAAGGAGGAGAGCAUGGCCGGUCAGCAGAGACAAAGAGCCUCCUGUGGGGAGGGAGAAGGACAUGCGCACUCAGAGGCAGCACACAGUCCUCCUUUCAGCCCUACUCUUGCUUGGGCUGCACCCAAACCCCCGCUUGGCUGAAGGCUUCUCCCUUCCUGCUCCCUUUGGUCUGACUCCCUUUGGCCGGCCCCCACACUCCCACAUUGUCAGCCUCACCUCCCACAGACCAGCCCCUUGGGUUCUCAACUACUGACCUGCUCCUCUGUGUCCUGAGUCAAGCGCCCCACUGUCUCCACACCCUCACUCCCUGACUCCCACCCUCUCCUCACCAAGGACCCAAGGACACACUUCGGACUUCAUCUCCUUCAGUCACUGACCUCUCUUCUGGGAACACUUGCUUCUCAUGGCCAUCCAUCUCUGCUUCUACCAGCUCUCCAUCCUCACCCUCCACCCUGAAUCCUUCCACUCUGUCUCCUCAGCCUCCAUCCCAGUCCCACUCCUGCCCCACACCUGCCAUGCACAGUCGCCUUUGCUUGCUCUGACCCACUCACAGUGCUUCUCCUACACCUAAUGCGUGGCGGUAUGCAGGUUGGGCCCAUGUAGUCUCAUGCCUGCUCAUAGUUAAUGUCACACAAGAACACAGACACACGGCUGUCUGCAGCCAUACACAUCAGUGCUGGUGAUCAAUUAACACUUGCAUCAGCCAUAAAUCACACCCUGUCAUCAGACACACACUCACUUACACCUGGCCAUUGCCACAUGCUAUGGGCAACAUGGGCUCACUCACUGGGUGACACACCUGCUGCAAAAUGUGUUGCACAUGGCAGCUGCAGGGCUCGCAGCCCCGGGGCCUCCCCAGGUUCCGGAAGAGGUGGGUACAGUGGCUAAAGUCCUGCCCCAGCGUGUGGGGGCAGCAGGGGCACCACCUACUGACCUGGUUGCAAAAACAGGUUUCAGCCCCAGAUAGGCACCUUGCCCCAGGGGUCACAGCUGCAGCCAGGGGAGAAGAAGGGCUUGACAGGGUCUGAGGAAAGGGAGCCCACCCGCCCACCUUAGGAUGUCCUCACCCAUCCCACCCACACACUCACGCCUGGGUGCAGGGCACUGCUGUGGAAGCCAGGCCUGCAGUAAGCAUGGCCAGGGCUGUGGCUGUGGUACAGACAAUGCUGAUGCAGUGCCCACUGUGGGAGUUACAGGCACCCAGAUCAUGUGGAUCAAUGUUGUUGUUAUACUGGCAGGGCCAACAUGGACUCCUUCUGGCAUCUCCUCCUGGCCAAGGGAACCCAAAGGAGCAGAGGAGCAGUGGUCACAGUAGAGGCCUGGAGUGGGUUGGGAUAUGUGUGGAGGAUAUGCCUCAGGUGUUUUCCAGUACCUUUGGAGUCCCUGGAUCCCACUUAACCAGCCAGAAAGUCUGAGGUCCAUCCAGGAGGGCAGAGAAUACAACAGCUACAUUAUGGUCCACCUUUUUGGCUUACAAGUUCUAUGUCUAUAAUUCCUCAAGAACGGGGAGCUCCUUGAGGAGAGGUGCCUAGACUGCAGCCCAAGACACAGGAGGCACUGGCAAAGAUUUGCCUCCUAGACCUGAAGGGAUUGUGAACCAGACAGCAGGGCCAUGGGUUUGUCACAGCCAACUAUGCCUCACUUACAUAGCCAGGGGCACAGAGGCACAGAACACAUCCACUUGUGCUGCCACAUGUCAGGAAGUCCCAGGCUCAAGACAGAGGUAGGGCUGGCACUGCUGGCCUAAGCCCAGGGCGGGGUCUCUGUAGUAGCCAUCCAAGCACCUGGGGGCAGUAGCACAUGGAAUGGGGCCUCACUCUCUCAUCACAAUUCCUCCCCAAUUCUGCCAGUGCCAGCCUCACCUCUCACAGUGCCGGCCCGUGGUAGCUUAGUGGCGGUCCUGGGAGAAUGAAUAGGUGGAACAAAUCAGCAUGCCUGUUACAGGCACAUGGCUGACAGUGGGGGAAGCCCCACCAGCUGGGGAGGCAUUAGUCAGAGCAGUGACCAGCAAAGCCUGUCCAGUAUGUGCACUGUCCCCACACAGGGUUACAGAUGGCACUGUUGGCACCUUUGGUGUGGGAGUGACACUCUGAGAAAUGGCAGGGUGAGCAAGCCAUGCAGAGAAAGGAGAUGACUGGUCCCAGAUCACAUAUCCACUGGCCCUGAAGGCUCACCACUGCAGCUGGUGGGCCCGAAGCCACAUGGUCCAGGCAUGCAGUGGUCACAAACAUGACCAACAACAUUAGGACAGCAGGGGCACUGCCCACCCAGUAAGGCACACUCAGUGCUCAGUGAACCCUGGGGGUGGCAUUCACAUGUUGGCAGGAGAAAAGGCAAGACCAGAUGAACCUCAUGAUGCCUCCUGUAACCCCCAUCCUUCAUCACCCUCAAGUUAGGGCCACAUACUCACCAGGGCCACCCCCAUGGAGCAGUGCUGAGAUGCUGCAGAUGAGGCAGACCCAGGACUCAGGUAUGGUGCUGGAGAGGCUCACCCACACUGCCUCCAUGCAGCCCACCCUGUGGAGUUCCUGCAAUUGCCCAGUGGUGCCAGGGUCCACAGAUCUCAGUCCGGGCAACUCUUUCACCAGUGGCAGGAGCAUGAGCUAGUAAGAAGGCAGAGGGUGGUGGGUAGGGGCUAGUGGGCCCAGCUCCAUUCACUAACAUCUACACUGGAACUUCCUCAUGUGGCCCUCACAGUUCCUGCCUGACCCUUUCCUGUUUCUCUUUGAAGUCUGUUUUUCCUUCCCCUCCAAUGGCCCCAAUCUAGUCCAGGCAAUGUCACCUCUCACUCAGAAUCAUGGCAGCAGCCUCCCCCUAACAAUCCAUUCUCUCCAUCUUGUUCCUGCUCAAAUCCCUUCCUUUGAGGUCUGGUCCCUGCCUGUCUCACAGUCUAUCCUUGGCAUGUGCUUCUCCCCUGCAUGGAUAUCCCUUCCUACACUCUUCAUCUGCCUCAAUCUUCUUGGUGUAACUCUAGGCCUCCAUGACCCCCUGUCCCUUGGACCCAUGGCAUCCAUAUUGUCCUAUCAUUUUUGUACCCCCAGAGGUGGAGUGAAGCCCCUAGGAUCUCACUGAAUCCAGAAGGAUGGUGCUGCCACCACCCCACCCCCAGGUCUCCACACCCCCUUGGUCUGCCACAGCUGCAGGGUCAUGGAGUAGCAUGUUCCAGGUUCGAAGCAGAAAGUCUGGAUAGAACUACAGCUCUGCAGGGAGGGAGGAGAGGAGUAAGGGUGGGGUAAGGAGGUCAUGAUCAUGUGGUCCCAGGAAUACCCAUUUCCAUUGUGCAGAUAUGGGGCCCAACAUUUUAUCAUACAACUAAUGGAAAAAGACCAACUUCUUAAACCCUGUUUUUGUUUUUGUUUUUUUUUAGGGCCACAGCAUAUAGAGGUUUCCAGGCUAGAGGUCGAAUCAGAGCCAUGGCUGCCAACCUACACCAUAGCCAUGCCAGAUCUGAGCUGCAUUCUCUUGCAGCAAUGCUGGAUGCUUAACCCACUGAGUGAAGCCAAGGAUCAAACCCAUAUCCUCGUGGAUACUAGUCAGGUUCUUAGCCAGCUGAACCACAAUGGGAACUCCCUGCUCUGUUUUAAAUUAGGCCUUUGUGUGAUUGUUCUAUGACAUGAUGCUGUACCAUGUUGGGUGUUCUCCACUUUGGGUAACGUUCCAAAUGUGUUGGCUAUGUAGUAGGGUCUUGGUACUAGGGGUCACAGGGUGUGGCCUACCUGUGUACAUGGGUUAAGGCUGCCUGAAACAACUGCUCUGAGGGCAGCAGAUGGGCACAUCAGGUACUGGGCUGGGAUUGGGCACAGGCACUAACGCCUGCCAGUCUUCAGAUGCCUAGGCUUAGGGGUCAGCAAUCAUAGAGCUGCCCCUACCCACCACCCAGAACCACUCAUCCACUUGCCUGGUACCCACUGACCUGGGUCUCUUAGCGCAGGACAAUGUCGUACUCCAGGAUACGAGGCACUGUGGGUGCCAGCAGAGAGAGGCCGGUGCCAUCAACCACAUGUGCAAAGUCCGAGCCAGUCCACAGUGGGGAGCCAGCUCCCAGAUACAGGGGCAGAGGCCCCUUUGGGGCCUGGAUAUGAGGCACAAACUCCCAGGCCCAGAGCACUCCAGGACCUAGGACUCUCAGGAUUUAGGUUCCCAUUCCUCUAAGACUUCAGAAACCCAAAUCCCCAGGGCUUGGGCCCCAUCCUUACUAAGACCUAGUGACCUGUGACCCAACCCUGUUCCUCAGACUCCUCACCUUGGGCAGCUAUUGACUAUAACGGGCUCACUUGGCAGAACGGAGGACACAUUCAGGGUCACGCUGUCUCUGAAGUUGGGGCCUGAGCCAACUGGGGGAAGUCUCUGGGGCUUGUGUACAGUGGGGAGGAGCAGGCCAGGGGGCUCCCUGGGGGCAUUCAGGUGUCAGUGUCCUCCAACAUCCUAGCCCUGUCCUCUUCCACCCUACUCUGGGGAUAUGGGCUCUUUCCAAGACACCAAUCUUCUAACCAUGCUGAUACCACCCUAUCUGGACUUGCCUCAUCUUCCUAACCCUGUCCAGCCUCUUCUACCAACCAGCUCACUCUGGACACUC
rnacentral:lncRNA from 1 species